rnacentral:rRNA from 1 species
AUUGAACGCUGGCGGCAGGCCUAACACAUGCAAGUCGAACGAGUGGCGGACGGGUGAGUAAUGUCUGGGCACCUGCCUGAUGGAGGGGGAUAAGUACUGGAAACGGUAGCUAAUACCGCAUAACAUCAGAUGUGCCCAGAUGGGAUUAGCUUGUUGGUGGGGUAACGGCUCACCAAGGCGACGAUGCCUAGCGGGUCUGAGAGUCUGACCGGCCACACUGGAACUGAGACACGGCCCAGACUCCUACGGGAGGCAGCAGUGGGGAAUCUUGCGCAAUGGGCGCAAGCCUGAUACAGCCAUGCCGCGUGUAUGAAGAAGGCCUUCGGGUUGUAAAGUUCUUUCAGCGGGGAGGCGUUAUCCGCAGAAGAAGCACCGGCUAACUCCGUGCCAGCAGCCGCGGUAAUAC